GACGAACGCUGGCGGCGUGCCUAACACAUGCAAGUCGAACGGUAAGGCCCUGCUCUUGUGCGGUCCUCGUGUGGCGCACGGGUGUGUGUCACGCGAGUAACCUGCCCUUGACUUCGGGAUAACUCCUGUAAACUGGGGCUCAUACCCGAUAUGAGCUCCUGCUACACGGUGGGUGAUGUAAAGAUUCGGUGUUUCGGCACGGACUCGUGGCCUAUCAGCUUGUUGGUGGGGUAGUGGCUUACCAAGGCAUCGACGGGUUGCCGGCCUGGGAGGGUGACAGGGCACAUUGGGCCUGGGGAAGGGCCCGGACGGAUACGGGGGGCAGCGGUGGGAGAUAGAGCGCAAAAGGCGGAGGGAGGAAGCAGCAACGCCGCGUGGGAGAAGACGGUCGUCGGGGUGGAAACCGCUUUAGCGUGUAAAGAAGAGUAAGUGACGGUAAUGAGUAAGGAAGCACCGGCUAACUACGUG
rnacentral:rRNA from 1 species